AGGCAUUAAAAAAACAUUCUGAGAAGGGGUGUAUAGACAUCAUCAGACUGCUAAUGGGUUUCAAGAUACUCAAAAAGGAUACGGAGCCAAGGGAACUUCUUUUGCUGAGGCUGUAAUUCGCCAUGAGGGAGAGACUAUCCAAGUAAACAUAAGGAAGAAUCAAAAUUGGAUCAUGUUGAUGCACAAUGUUGGGACAUUGUGGAGUUGUUUCAUCAGUGUUAAAAUUCCGCUACUUUUCCUUGAAGGUAAUGUUGCUAGAAGUUCCCAGUCAUAUGAAGGGGAAUAACUCUAAGCGUAAACAUAGUUGUCACACUUGUUGUGGCAACAGAAACUCAUCUAAAUUGGACUGAUAAAAAAUUAAAUAAUAAAUGGGACCUAUCAACAGUUUGAUGAAUCCCUUGAUUUCUGAUGCACCCUGGCUUUUUCUGACAGAAAUCACAAUGGGUCAAUUUAUAGAAAACCAGUCCAUAUUAGAAUUUACCACUCCUUCCACCCUGUUCCCUAGUUAGAUACAUGCACUUACCUGGUUCCAAAGUCCCAGAUCUAUCUGGGCACUUUAAUUAGUCACAGCUCAAGCAAAGUAUUUAAAAAGGGCUGUCAAUAUAAUGGACUUGGAUUAGAAUUAGGAAGACCAGAGUUCAAAUGCCACUUCUUUUUUUUUUUUUUAAACCCUUACCUUCCGUCUUGGAGUCAAUACUGUAUAUUGGCUCCAAGGCAGAAGAGUGGUAAGGGCUAGGCAAUGGGGGUCAAGUGACUUGCCCAGGGUCACACUGCUGGGAAGUGUCUGAGGUCACAUUUGAACCUAGGACCUCCUGUCUCUAGGCCUGACUCUCAAUCCACUGAGCUACCACCCAGCUACUCCCUAAAUCCCACUUCUGACAUUUAUAUGUACUAGCUGUGUACCCCUAAUCAAGUAAUUUAACUUCUUUCUGCCUCAGUUUUCUUAUUUGCAAAAUGGGAAUAAUAGUACUUACCUUAUAUGAUUGUUGUGAAGAUCAAAUGAAAUGUAUAUGUGUAUUUAUACAUACAUAUACAAAUGUAUGUACAUGAAUAUGUACACAUAAGUAUAUAUAAUAAUUUAUAUAUACAUGCAUAUGCAA